AAAACAGGUUUAAUUUGUUCUUAAUGUGCUUAAGUACAAGUGUAAAUUAUAUUUAAUUUUAAUCUUAAUUUUAUAUGUGUUUUGUCAUAGCCAAAGCAAAACAUUGCACCUUCGAAAUGGCUUUUAUUCAAACUUAAGUUGUUACUCUUUUUAGGUGUCUAGUAGGUUUACCCAAAUAAAGGUACUUAAUAGCCCUAUAAAUUAUCUUCAAUGAAGCCUGAAACUAAUUAAGGUAGAAGGAUUAUGAUCUAUUUGAAACACUGCCAAAUGCCAAAGAAGUUUGUGUCCUAGAUCUAAAAACAGGAAAACUAACAUAUCAUGAGCAAAAAAAGGCACCAGACAUAUCUGCUUUGCACCCUCACACACAACAAAAACAACUGCUUGUGUGGACUACAAUUUAUAGCUGUUGUACUACAAGGUUUUCUAGGUGCCCUCUAUUUUAAUAUAUAAGCCCGGCAAAUAAAG